AACGAACGCUGGCGGCAUGCCUAACACAUGCAAGUCGAACGAGACCUUCGGGUCUAGUGGCGCACGGGUGCGUAACGCGUGGGAACCUGCCCUUAGGUUCGGAAUAACUCUCCGAAAGGGGUGCUAAUACCGGAUAAUGUCUUCGGACCAAAGAUUUAUCGCCCUUGGAUGGGCCCGCGUUGGAUUAGCUAGUUGGUAGGGUAAAAGCCUACCAAGGCGACGAUCCAUAGCUGGUCUGAGAGGAUGAUCAGCCACACUGAGACUGAGACACGGCCCAGACUCCUACGGGAGGCAGGAGUGGGGAAUAUUGGACAAUGGGCGAAAGCCUGAUCCAGCAAUGCCGCGUGAGUGAUGAAGGCCUUAGGGUUGUAAAGCUCUUUUACCCGGGAUGAUAAUGACAGUACCGGGAGAAUAAGCUCCGGCUAACUCCGUG
rnacentral:rRNA from 1 species